UGCAGCAGACUGACAGGAGCAGCUGUGUGUGUGUGUGCGCAUUCUUCCUUAAAUAGACUUCCUUCCUUUUCUCAAGCUUGAUGUCCGUCUCUCUGUCAGUGCCAGAUAAACAGCCGCUUGUUUAUGCCAUGAUUUUGCCAAUAGGCAUUGAUCCUUCUGCUCUGCGUUGCUGAAACAUGUCCAGAUGUGAGGAGGCAAGAAAUGCAACUGACUGGUCCCAGAGACGAGAGUGGACAUUUGAGAAACUUCUGAACAGCAGAAAAACAUCUGGACAGACACUGGAAAAAACAGCUGUCUUCAACCUUGAUCACAUCUGUUGAUCUGAGGCCUGUUAGGAAAAAAAGAUACCUGAACAUCACAUCACAACAUCUGUAUUGUAGAAAUUAAUUUGAAACAUUAGAACAACACCUAGACAAGAGGUUCUGGCCUCUGAACACAAUCACAUGUAAUAUCUGUCCCACAGCAGAGAAACAUGUGGUUUCAUCACCACACAGCUGGUUGAGUUUUUGAAAACUAAUCAGCUGUGUUCUCUGAACUCUGUGAACAAGGAACGUGGGAGAUGGGAGGAAUAGUGUGUACAGAAGAGAUGAAGGAGGAGAAGAGGAGGAGCGAAGGGAGGGAAGACAGUUUGACAUCAGCAGACAGAAUACGAAGAUUCACCGUCAAACAGUUUGGAUACAAUGUUCUGAGCCUGGCUCGCCGAGGUCUGAAGGUAUGACAGCAACACCUGCUUUUAGGUACAAAUGGCCACUGCUGCCAUCUCUGUGGUUUCAAUUAAUAAUGUACAAGCACACAUCCUGGUGUCUACACUUGUACAUUCAGAGUUUAGCCCUAUGAGAUCCAAGAUCCAAGUGUUAUCUCAGAUGCAGGUUGAAGCUCCAUCAUCAGCCUGCACUGUGAUCAACACCUCUUUCAUCCUUCUGGGAACGCAGUCAAUUAUUCAGAUAUGAUCUGAUCAGAUAUGACAGCAUCUGGUUUCUCAUGCCAGCCUUAAUCAAUCUUCACUUAUUUAAACUCCUUUGUUUGCUUUCCAACUCUUGCUGCCUAUGAGCAAGUGCAAAUCCACUUAGGAUUGUUUUCUUUGAAUCACUGCAGAGAUUUUAGUUUCAAAUAUGAAGCGCCUUGAGGUAACUUUUGCUGUGAUUUGGCACUAUAUAAAUAAAACUGAAUUGAAUUGAACUGAAUACCACUGGUAACACAGAACCAAUUGAAACCUCACCCACUAACUAUAGUUUUGAAUACUGCGCAACACGUGAUGAGAUCCCUGUUAUAUACACUCAGGUCAAAAGGUUUAGAAGUUUUUUUUAUUAGAAAUUAUACAUUUUAAUGUCUCUUUGCACUCUGAAAUGAAAGCAUAGUACAAACAAGCAGUUGCAGUUAAAAAAGAAAUCAUGAACUUGUUACACCCCCACCUGGGGGGAACCCAGAGGCAACCAAAAAAAACCCUCAAAACGAAUAACGGCCCCACUCCCUGCUCCCAAGGAAAGAUCAACGCUGCCAAGGGUUUGUGGUUUUACAACAAUCAAAUAUUUUAUUAAAGGUAGCAAGCGUCAGGGUGGUCCCAAUAUGUAGUCAUCCCCAUUCAGUCUUCAACCAACGGUCGCCUCCACCUUGAGCUUCCAUUAGCACAAACAGCAGAGAGAUGAGGGUAUGGUACCACAGUGUGGUCCAACACUGCUUUUAUGCAGACAGAGGGGGCUGUAAGUAAUCCAGAACCACCUGUAGGAGUUAGUAGCACCAGCUUUCAUCGCCUGAUCAACCUCCAUUACUGCAGAACAGCUUUAAACUGUUAACCCAUGUUGUGUUCCCUGAAAAAGGCCUUUUUUUGGAUAAUUCUGAAAUGCACGUUAUUUUUCAGUUUUGGGUAAUCUUACCUUUGUUUAACCUCUGAGAGUUCACCACUUACCUUUGUACAAUUUCAGCUUUUCAUUGGAUUGAAUGACUUGAACUGGACAAAAAUUCGGCUGUUCUAAAACUUUUGACUGGCAGUGUGUAAACAUAUUUUAACUGUAGAUUUGUUUCAUGUGACACUGACCCAAGUUUAAAUAUUUAACUUCUUUUUAACUUCUUCAUCUGUCAAAAUAAACACUGGCACAUUUGUGAACAAGCAUUAGAUCAGUGCCAGCGUGACAUUUAUCAGUGACUUUUCACACAGUAAUCACACCAUGUGAUGAAACGAUGGGCAUUUUCUCCUCACACAGUACAGCACAGUAUGUUUUGGGCUCGUGUUAAUAAAUACUGAUGACUUUAAAACAAUGAAAAUAUGAGCUGGCUUCAACAGGAGAGGACAUUUUGUUACGGUUUGGAGGACGACUCAAGCGCAGGACUCCGGUUCUGAUACUCACAAGAAGGGUUUAUUUACAAGUCACCAGGUGUACAUACAAGAAUGUGCGGGGGGGGUGUUAUAUACAGCGGAGUGGGGGGAGAAGGGGUCUCCAGGGAAGUCCAAGGGAAAGCACGCAUUCUUCAGAAUAUCCACUCACACGAUCACAGGCUCACACUCCGACACUGCCACACGGGAAUCACACGGGG